UUUUUUUUUUUUGCUGUUUUUUUUUUAAAGCCUUGUACUUUAUUUUUUGUAUUUCUCCAUUUCCUCAAGAUUCCUGCAUAGAAGUUUUGUUUGUUUGUUAGUUAUAAUUUAUAAUUUCAGGUGUUGACUCCAUUCUGUUAUUUUGUGUUUUCUUCCCCAUGGACUUCCAUUUCCCCUAAGUUGGGUAUUCUUUGUCUUCUGUUUCUUCCACUCUCUCUGUGUCUACUUUCUUGAUUGUUGUAUUGUUUUCCUUUAAUGCCCAUGUUAAACACCCAUUCAAAUUUCUUUCCCCCCCGCCCCCGCCUUGAGCACUUUAUAAUUUUGACUUUAUUUCUUAAAUAAUUUUACUUUUUUAUUUCAAUCAUGAGUUCAGUCAAUGACCAUUCCAACUUCAUAUUUUCGAAUUUAUGAUAGAUAUGUUCCCAAAUGUCUUUAUGAGAUGUUUUAAUUCGCUGCGAAGUGCAGCCUUCUUCUGUGGCAUGCUUGGAAUCUGGGGGAGAUUUUUUUACCAGCUGAUGUGCUUGAUCAUCACUUUCGGUUUCCCAGGCUAGUGAUGGGGGUUGCGUCACAAGAAUUCAAGUUCACAGAUGCUCUCCUCUGACAGUUGAGUCAUGUACAUUUUCUUUAAUAGUGGGUUUUUCAUGGGGACAGGGAGGUUUAAGAGAGGAGUUGUGUGUAUUGUUUCCUUUUGCAUUUCUUUGUGUUACUGGACCCUUAGUUCCUCCGUCUUACUUUAUGUUCCCUUUACUUCACAGGUGCCAAAGGUUAGUUACCAUCUAUUUCUCAGAGCCCCUGUCUUUGCAUUUCUGUCUCCCCACGUUCUGAGUACAGUAAGCCCCUAUAGUUACUGCUGUGAACCAACAGUUAUUUCUCAACAUUUUCACAUCUAAGGCAUGUAUUCCUUCUCAGAGAGAUUUUAGUUCAGUCUUAUCUCCUGUAUUCCUCUUUCUUCUCUUCCCUGUAUUUCUCUGAACUCUCCUUAUUCUUGUCAAAACUCAGGAGAAAUAGUUCUGCUGGAAUGUGGGGCUUAUUUUGAAAUCACAGUUGUUUAAAAUGACAGGGCCCUUUGUCUUCCAAUUAUGCUAAAGGUGUCAAAUUCGUGGCUGGUUUGUUCUUGUUUAUCUGUAUAGACUUUGGAGAAGGGGCUGGAGUUUGCGAUUUCAGCAGCUGCCAUUGCCUCAGCUACAAGGAAGUUGCUUUUCUUUUUUAAUACAUCAAUUAUGUAUGGUUGGUUAUUGAUUAUUUAUUUUAAGAUUUUUUUUGUAUUGUUUUUUCACCCUCCAGGCAGGACUGGUUACAUAAUAUGUGAAGCCCUGUGCAGAAUGAAAAUUCAGGGUCCUGUACUAAAAAAAAAAAAAUACUGUUAAGAAUUUCAAGUUGUCAAAAGCACUGCAUUAAACCAAGGGCUGGACCCUUCUGAGUGUGGGGUCCUGUGUGUCCAUAAAGGUUGCACACCCAUGAUGCCAGCCUUGGGGCUGUACUUAGUAUGCGUUAUGUAACUUUGGUUCAGUAGCUUCAAAGGUGUUAUUUGUCACCUCCAGAGAUAGAGAGAGAGAGGGAUGGGGGGAGGGUAUUAGUUUGAUACUGGGGUUUAGGAGACUUGAGUUCCAUCCCCAAAACUGCCAUGGAAUUACAACGUGACUUUGAACAUGUGAUUUUCUCUCUGGAGUUCUGUUUUCCUACUUGAAAAGUGAAAGAGGUUCCCAGACUAGGGGUCAAAUCAGAGCUGUAGCCACCAACCAGCCUAUGCCCACAGCAAUGCCAGAUACGAACCACAUCUGUGACCUACACCACAGCUCACAGCAACAUCAGAUCCUUAACCCACUGAGCAAGGCCAGGGAUGGAACCUGUGUCCUCAUGGAUACUAGUCACAUUCAUUUCCACUGAGCCAUGACGGGACCUCCCACAUAUAAUUUUAAAAUGAAUUUGAUGGCAGAUAAAUUUUCCCUCUCAAAUUUGAUUUCCUUCUAUUGAGAUUGAACAGAUUUUAUCAGUUCCCGAAUAGACGCCAAAUGUUAUAGAGAACCAUUUGUUCUUCACCCAGAGCAUCUCCAUAAGAAAUGCUUCUAAACCUCGGGGUCCCACUGGACAUUGUUGGCACCCAUUUCUGGGUCCCCCCCUCCAUCACUGACUUGCUAAUGUUUCAACUCCUGGUCGCCCUGCCCACUGUAAAACUUCUUGACUCCUUACAAACAUAAAAUGGAAACUUUACACUCAGGCCGAAAAGAAAUACGGCAUCCAAGUGACUUGCUCUGUAGGAUAUAAAAAUAAUGAGUCAUUUCAGUUCUCACCCUGUUGUUUGACUCUAUUAAAUUAACAUCACACAGCAACAGACCUGAGUUUCCAUGGUUUGUUUUGGAUUUAUGUUGAUGUGUGGUUUUGGCUGCUUGUGUGUUUGCUUCAUUGAGGAGGAAGAGGCAGUGUGUGAAAGUCGAGGUCUCGUACAGCUGAUGGAAAUGAUUUUUAAAAAAUGUUAUGAAACAUGUAUCUCCCUCUUGAGCAAUAGUCCAGGGGAGCCAUCGCAUAUCAAAAUCAAAACAAGAGGGUGGGAAUAGAGCAAGCAGCGUAUGAUUCAGUAACUCCGCUAGAUUGCUUUAUUGGUUAGGUAAUGAAGCAUGCCAGGGAAUUUCAACCAAACAUGAGUCAACAUACUGCCAAUUCAUAUGUGAAGUGACUGAACUUCAAAUUUUUAGGAAGAAUGAGGGGAGGGGAGCUGUUCCAUUACUCCGGGGUUGGAAAGUGUUACCAAGAUUCUCUUUCUUACUACUACCUGGAGAGGCUGAUCCAGGAUUGCUGGAAAAAGACGUGAGAGUCUCAGCUUUCCUCUGAGCACACUUCCUGUUGCCCUAGAGAUUUUUUUUUUUUUAACUGAAGGACUUUCAAACCAGGCUGGUCCAAGUAUGAGGCAUUCCCACCUCCAGGAAAUGGCUUUUUAUAACUGUAUACUUCUAUUUCUUUUUUCUUUUUAAUUUGGUGUUUAAUUACCCGCUGCCUCUCUAUGGCUCAGGUUCCCUUCAGGAUCCAGAGGGAGCGUUGGGGGAGAGAUUUCCUUUGUGGUUUAAUAUAAUUAUUCAUAAUGACUACAUAUGGUCAUUUUAUAAGUUCCUAAUUAUUUUAAGUGAUUGGUGCAUAGUCAUUUGCAUAGGCUGUUUAGCAGAAUACUCAUUUUGUUCAGUGACCUACAUAUAAAUCAGUGAAUAUUCUGUAGGCAUCUAAAGCAGGUGGAAGAAACCAUCCCCCAGCCCUUCCCCGCCAAACAUCAUUCAUGGUUCCAAUGUGUGCGUUCCAGGAUGUUUCAUGUAAAUCAUAACUGCAGUUUGGAUUCACUGCUCUUCAAACGGAUGUGUGGUUGAUGUAGGGAAACAUGUUUUAAUUUUUUUCCUUCGGUGGCAGAUGGUACCUGGAUUUUAUUUGGUGCGGGCAGUACUGUCCAAGGUUAAGAGUCAAGGAUGUUCCCCCUCCUCCGUUGUGAAAAGGGAGAGGGACCUAAAUCUUCUGGACCAACCCAUUCAUUGUACAGAUGAGCACACUGAGACCUCAACUGUUGAGUCGUUUCCCCUAAAUCACUAGUUUUUAGACAGAAUGAGGACUAAGAUUCACAUGCCCUGACAACCAGCCUCUUUCUCAUUUGUCCAUAUACGCACUGUCUCUUGGUAGUUGAUAUGACAGAUGUCAUUAAAAACAAACAAAUACACUGGGAUUCUGUUUCUGGCUCUCUGUCAUGCACCUUCCUCUUCUGAAAGCCAAGUUCCACUGAUUGAUAGGAAGGACAAGUAUUAUCACCCAGUACUAAUUCCAAGCUGGGAGAAUCUGUGGCUUCUAGGUGAUCCACUUGGGCUCACAUAACCACCUCAGUUUGCUGGACCUACACACUUACCUUCACGGAAGGGACCUUGAAAGCUCAUUUAAUCCAGUGAUAUCUUCCAACACCAACUUGAGGGCCUCACUCCCUAUUCCAUUUCUGUCCAGUUCACAGUGAAAUGAGGAGUAAAUCAGCAUGGGGGAAAUAAGGAAUGGCACAUAGAGGCCAGCCUUCCCCCACAGUCCUCAAACCUUUGCCUUUCUCCCCUUCAGGGUCUCAUGUGCAGACCAAUGAUAAUUUCAUCAAUGAAAUCCACAAAUUAAGAACCACUGGGAUAAGGGGGUCUUUUCCAUGAAACCAUAUCUUGGCAGUGAAAUAGAAAAAUUGAGUCUAAUCAUUUAACACAACUACAGCCCCACCACCAUCACUGCCAAAUAAAUAUUUGCUGCUCUGGGUCACUUCCCACAAUUGAGAAAUAACAUUUUUGCUCAUUGUCAAUAACAGGAUGGAUGUGGCCUGUGAAUUCAUUAUCUAAUUGUUUAUGUAGCUGUGUUACUCUAUCUGUAUCUACAUCUAUCCGAGACACCCCAAAAAUGGUUUAUUGUAUUAUCAUUCUUAAAUGUGCACAAAUGUUCCUUAUGGGCUUCAGGUUCUUAUAUGGUGAACUCUCUCACCUGAACACAAAUGUAUGACUGUAAACUCACAGAGCUGUGUCUUUGUCUACCUUUCAGCUUCUGAGCUAUAAUAUUCUUGAGAUAUUAAUAUCAACAUCCUCUCAUUGAUAGUUUUGGGGAGUGAUACAGGAAAAGAUGGUACGUUCUUUGAUAGCCAUCUUUGUUGUCAUUUGCAAAAUAAACUGUGAUCUCUAUCUGCCUUUUUCUUCCACAUCUCAAGUUGGACCAUUUGAUGGGUAAAGAGGGAGAAAACCAGGCAUCAUACUGCAGGUGAACAUAAGAUGCUAUGCACAACUGAAGUUCCCAUCAUGGUUCAGUGGUAACAAACCCAACUGGUAUCCAUGAGGAUGGAGGUUCAAUCCCUGGUCUCACUCAGUGGGUUAAGGAUCCAGUGUUCCCAUGAGCUGUGCUGUAGAUCAGAGAUACGGCUCAGAUCCAGCAUUGCUGUGGCUGUGGAGUAGGUCAGCAGCUACAGCUCCAAUUCGACCCUUAGCCUGGGAACUUCCAUAUGCCAUGGGUGCAGCCCUAAAAAGACAAAAAAAAAA
rnacentral:lncRNA from 1 species